rnacentral:rRNA from 1 species
GAUGAACGCUGGCGGCGUGCUUAACACAUGCAAGUCGAACGGUGAAGGCGGAGCUUGCUCUGCUGGAUCAGUGGCGAACGGGUGAGUAACACGUGAGCAAUCUGCCCCUGACUCUGGGAUAAGCGCUGGAAACGGCGUCUAAUACUGGAUACGAGCUGCGACGGCAUCUUCAGCAGCUGGAAAGAACUUCGGUCAGGGAUGAGCUCGCGGCCUAUCAGCUUGUUGGUGAGGUAACGGCUCACCAAGGCGUUGACGGGUAGCCGGCCUGAGAGGGUGACCGGCCACACUGGGACUGAGACACGGCCCAGACUCCUACGGGAGGCAGCAGUGGGGAAUAUUGCACAAUGGGCGAAAGCCUGAUGCAGCAACGCCGCGUGAGGGACGACGGCCUUCGGGUUGUAAACCGCUUUUAGCAGGGAAGAAGCGAAAGUGACGGUACCUGCAGAAAAAGCGCCGGCUAACUACGUG